CUUAAGCUAGCUGAUCCACACAUCUCCUGGGGAACAUUUUUUUUUUUAAAUAGAGAUUCUUUGGUUCAGGUGAUUGUCCACAGACUGACAUUUGGGAACCAAAUAUGGUAGAGGAGUCUUUCAAGAAGUUCGAACCAUAAUGCUUGGGACAGAGGAGUUGAAAGCAGACCACUAUAUGGAAAAUUUGUUUUUAAGCUUCUAGAGGCUACCCACAUUCCUGGGCUAAUGGCCCCUUCCUACAUCUUCAAAGCCAGCAGUGGUGGGCUGAGUCUUUCUCCUGGUAUCAUCUCUUCAUUCUCUAUCUCCCUCUCCCAAUUUUAAGGACCUCUGUGAUUAUAUUGGGCACCUGGAUAUUGCAGGAUACGCUCUCUAUUUUAAGGCUAUGCUCCGUAAAGAGAGUGCCUCCUCUAGAAUCACAAGACCUAAGCAUGAAUCUUCCUUUGAAGGAUAAAAUGGAAGGAAAAAAACUGGAUGAGGAAAAGAAGAGUGGGGAAUAGAAAGAGAGAGAGAGAGAAAGAUGGAUAAAUUUUUAAAGUUACUAUAAUAAAAAUCUUCUACAACGAAACUAUAAUUGUUGAUCAGCAAAUGUGAACUAAUCCUCCUCCU
rnacentral:lncRNA from 1 species